rnacentral:rRNA from 1 species
AACGAACGCUGGCGGCGCGUCUUAAGCAUGCAAGUCGAACGGCAAGAGAGGAGCUUGCUUCUCUCCUAGAGUGGCGGACUGGUGAGGAACACGUGGGUAAUCUACCCUUAAGAUGGGGAUAGCUGCUAGAAAUAGCAGGUAAUACCGAAUAUACUCGGCAUAUCACAAGAGGUGUUGAGGAAAGGAAGCUACGGCUUCGCUUGAGGAUGAGCUUGCGUCCCAUUAGCUAGUUGGUGAGGUAAAGGCCCACCAAGGCGACGAUGGGUAUCCGGCCUGAGAGGGUGAACGGACACAUUGGGACUGAGAUACGGCCCAAACUCCUACGGGAGGCAGCAGCUAAGAAUAUUCCGCAAUGGACGGAAGUCUGACGGAGCGACGCCGCGUGGAUGAAGAAGGCUGAAAAGUUGUAAAAUCCUUUUGUUGAUGAAGAAUAAGGGUGAGAGGGAAUGCUCAUCUGAUGACGGUAAUCGACGAAUAAGCCCGGCUAUAC